GUCCUUUAGAUAAAUAUAAUUUAAGGUCUAACCUGCCCAUUGACUAAGUUAAAAGGCCGCAGUAAUUUGACUGUGCAAAGGUAGCAUAAUCAUUAGUUUUUUAAUUAAAAGCUUGUAUGAAUGGUUGGACGAGAUAAAAUCUGUCUCUAAAUAAUAAAUAGAAUUUAAUUUUUAAGUUAAAAAGCUUAAAUUUAUUUAAAAGACGAGAAGACCCUAUAGAUCUUUAUAUAAAUUUUUUUUAGUAUUAAUUAAGAAAAUUUUAUUUAUUAUUAAUAUUUAUAUUUUAUUGGGGUAAUAAAAAGAUUAAAAAAAUUCUUUUUAAUUAAACAAUAAUUAUUGAUUAUAUGAUCCAUUUUUAAUGAUUAUAAGAUUAAGUUACCUUAGGGAUAACAGCGUAAUUUUUUUAGAGAGUUCUUAUCAAUAAAAAAGUUUGCGA
rnacentral:rRNA from 1 species